rnacentral:rRNA from 1 species
CUACGGGCCGCUGCAGUGAGGAAUUUUGCGCAAUGGGGGAAACCCUGACGCAGCAACGCCGCGUGAGUGAUGAAGGCUUUCGGGUCGUAAAGCUCUGUCAAGUGGGAAGAAACUGCCGCGUGCUAAUAUCGCGCGGUACUGACGGUACCACUGAAGGAAGCACCGGCUAACUCCGUGCCGGCAGCCGCGGUAAUACGGAGGGUGCAAGCGUUAUUCGGAAUUAUUGGGCGUAAAGGGCGCGUAGGCGGUCUCUUAAGUCAGAUGUGAAAGCCCUGGGCUUAACCCCGGAAGUGCAUUUGAAACUAAGGGACAUGAGUAUGGGAGAGGGAAGUGGAAUUCCUGGUGUAGAGGUGAAAUUCGUAGAUAUCAGGAGGAACACCGGUGGCGAAGGCGACUUCCUGGACCAAUACUGACGCUGAGGCGCGAAGGCGUGGGGAGCAAACAGGAUUAGAUACCCUAGUAGUC